AAGCCCUUAAAGUUUUUUUUUGGCCAUUUGAACUCUUAAUAUUUAUAAAUAGUGCAGAAAAAUCUUUAAAUUUUGGUCAAAUGACUAAAAAAGGUCAAACUUUUUAUGAAAAUUUCACAAAAGUCCAAACCUUUCAAUUUUAUCAAAUUUGUCCUGAAACGCAUGAUUUCAUUUUAAUUAUGUCCAAUUACGUGAUUUUGCCCAUGUGGCGCCUACGUGGGUUGAUGUGGCAUGCCACACAUUAGCGCCACAUAAGUAAAAUUGUGUAGUUGGAUAUAACUAAAACGAAAUCAUGCGUUUUAGAACAAAUUGGAUAAAAUUGAAAGGUUUGAAUUUUUAUGAAAUUUUUAUGAAAGGUUUGGCAUUUUUUGAUUAUUUGACCUUAAAUUUUUUAGAAAGAGCAUUUAAAAUUCUUUGAUUUAUUUUUAACACUCAACUCCUCAAAUUUUUAGUUAUUUUUGUGAUUUUCUUUUCCAACGUAAAAGUUCACUUGCACAAUUUCAAAAUAUUGAAAGUUCAAAAAAAGAAAAAGUUCAAAAAAAUCAUUUUCUCUUGACGAAUCACAAAACGGAUCCGAUCUCUUGGUACCUGCACACAACAGUAAACAGAGGCCAGAAGAAAUUCCGGUGGGGGUCACCGGUCGUUCGCUCAAACGCUCAAGUGAGUUUUUCAGUUUAUUAGGUGCAUCAGACACAUGGAACAUUCUUUUUGCUCUUGUCAGAGGAUCUUCUGUGGUCCCUCGAAUCAGUUACACGUGAGUAUUGAUCCUCUGGGUUUUUCGGGUGUUAGUCUCGUUCUGAGGCACUUCAGAGACUGACCUAAUGGUAUUGUUCAGCCGAACUAUGAUGUCGAUCAUCAUAACUCGGGAGGACGUUUUCCAGUGACCUUUGCACUUCGGCUGGACCGAGGUGUGAUCUUGUCUCUUGUAGCUCGGUGACCCCCUAGACACUAGUUUCACGGGCUUGGAAGCUUCUCAAUUCGGAUUCUUCUAGUUGAUCUUUGGCCUAGCAAAUUUGGAAAUGACUUUUUGGACUCUCGAAUUCCUUGUUAAGAAGAGAGGUAGAAUGGCGGGCGUCGGAGAUACGAGAAUAAAUCGCACCGCUGUCAGCACCUCAGCCAGAAAAUCCAACAAUCGACAAUCCAUCGCUGCCGCCAUCAAUCGACAACCCGCCGCCGCCGUCGUCAAAUCCAUCAAUUGACAACCCAUCGCCGCCGCCAUCGCCAGCAAACCCAUAGAUCCGCAACCCAUCGCCAUUUUAGGGGCAACCUUACGAUAUAAAAUACUUUUGUUAUUAUCGGUGAUGAGGAUUUUGUAUUUUUCAAUAUUUUGAGCGUAAAAAGUCAAGAAGAAACGUAAAGAAGAAGGGAGGAAGAAGACUGAUGUAUUUUGGCAAGGGGAUAAGUGUGUUUGUAUAAUUGUAUCACUGAGAAUAAGUAGCUGUUUGGUGGUGUAGAGUCUAAUUUCCUAAAAAAAAAAAAUCGGGUCAAGUAUAAAAAAACUACUCCCUCCGUCCCGUUUAAGAAGUCCCAUAUUCCAUUUUGGGAUGUCCCAUUUAAAAAGUCCCAUUACCAUUUUUAGAA